GGUCAUCUAGCUCAGUCAGUAGAGCGUGGUGUGGUCUGGGAACGACCUUAAGGCUGAAAAACCCGACGGUCCCCAUUCCCAGGAGAGAUAUCUCUCCUGACCAAUUUACACCAAGGUCGUUGGUUCAAGUCCAAUGUUGACCA